UAUUUGGAUUGCAAAAAUAUUGUUGCUUGUUUAUUUAAGUGUUACAUAUUAUAUUGUCUCAAGCAUGCGCCUUUGCCUUCCUAGGGCCCUUUGCACUUUAGUGUGCCAUGCGCCAAAACUAUGAUCCUGAAUUUUGAAGCUCAUUUAAUUAUCAUUGGUUAUAUAGUUGUUUCUCUAGGGAUUAUUUUUAACCUAUUUCCUUAAUGUAAUUCGGUAGGCUGAACUAAAUGCUGGUUUUAUUGAUAUUGGUCUUCCAACAUCUCAUUAUCAACCAUGUGCUUGAUGCGAUAAACUUUUAUCUUGCUUCUCUCAUUCUUCUUGCUGAGCUUCUUUUAGUUGGGUAAUGUUUGAGAGAGAGGGAGAG
rnacentral:misc_RNA from 1 species